GACGAAGGGGGCUAGCGUUGUUCGGAAUUACUGGGCGUAAAGCGAGUGUAGGUGGUUGUCGUAGUCAGGUGUGAAAGCCUUGAGCUCAACUCAAGAAAUGCACUUGAUACUCGGCGGCUAGAGGACCGGAGAGGAUAGUGGAAUUCCCAGUGUAGUGGUGAAAUACGUAGAGAUUGGGAAGAACACCAGUGGCGAAGGCGGCUAUCUGGGACGGUAUUGACGCUGAGACGCGAAAGCGUGGGGAGCGAACAGG
rnacentral:rRNA from 1 species